AGCGAACGCUGGCGGCAGGCCUAACACAUGCAUGUCGAACGAAGUCUUCGGACUUAGUGGCGGACGGGUGAGUAACACGUGGGAACGUACCUUUUGGUUCGGAACAACUCAGGGAAACUUGAGCUAAUACCGAAUGUGCCCUUCGGGGGAAAGAUUUAUCGCCAUUAGAGCGGCCCGCGUUAGAUUAGCUAGUUGGUGGG
rnacentral:rRNA from 1 species